AGCACAAAGGGAGAGGCCCUCAGCCUCUCCUCCUCAGAGCUGCUGACCUCUCCAGGAAAUUCUGAUCUUUGUCACCCCGCAGCCAGAGACAAGCUGGGAUGGGGACAGCGGGAAACAAGCUGCCUGAUUUAGUCCAGCCAGAGAGAGCUGCUGGCCAGGGCUGGGCGCGUUGACUGAAGGGCGCCCCCUGGUGUCCAUCACCCCAGAUGAUCAGGCCUGGUUUGGGAAUGGCACUGGGAGGGGAGAGUUCCCCCUUCCUUGAGUUUACAACUUUCUCUUUUCCAAAAGCAGUUUCAAACUGAAACAUAAAGUGGGGCUUCAUACGCCGAGCGGCUUCUGUGCACUGCCCUCCUCCCUUCUCGUGCACCAGGACAGAAGACGCACAGAGUAGGUGGGUAACAACACCCACUGCUGGUUCUCAAGCCUGCACACUUCCACUUUCUGUGUUUGUGAAAUCUGUGCCUACCCCAAGCUCAUGAAGGUGUUCUCAUAAUUACUUUCUAGAAGCUUUUGUUUUACUGGCCAUGGUCUAUACUUAAAAAAAAAAACCCUAAAAUUUGCUUAAAGAUUAGAGAUUGGUUGCUGUGGAGUGAAAUUCAGUUUGGGGCAAAAAUAGGUUAAUGAUACCCAUGCUUUGGUUUCCUUAGCUGAGAAACGGGGAUAACAAUUGUCACAGGGUUGUUGUGACGUUAAAUUAGGUCGUAUGUGUAAAGUGCUCAGUGUGGGGGUGGGCGCACAGUAAGUCAAGUUCAAUAUAAGCGCUUAUUAUUGUUUUGGACCCACUUAAUUGCUUGGUGGCCCACUGGGUUCUAUUUGACGGGGAUGGUCGUGGAGGUAAUUUCCGUUUCCCCACUUUACGGUCUACGCUGCUUAAUAUGCUUGUAAACAUGGAGCUUCUGAGAGUUUCUGCAGGACACAUUGUGUCUGUUCCUAAUGACUCUCUGUGCCCCCUGUAACCUGCCCUCAGGCGUGGAAGGAGGGAAGGACUCUGAAGAUUGCCCCAGGUCCCCAGCCGUCCCGGGGACAGGAUGGUGAGGAACUGUCAGCUGAGCGGCCGCUGGAGAGAAGCCAGGAGGAGGCAGACAAAUCUGUAAGAUUUGCCCUCAGAAGCGGGGUGGAGGGGGUGGUCAGGAUGCAGGUGUGGAAGGAGAGCGUUUGCUACAAAUGGAGAGAGAAAUGGCUUGCGGGAGCCUUUGUUCCUCCAGAGGAGUAAUUGCCUUUGAUGGGCUGUUAAUAGGAGUCAUUAUGCGGUUAUUAAGAAGGGAAUGUGAUGAGCCCAGCCCUGAAUAGCUAAGUUCGGGGGUCUCCUGGUUUAAUGUUGCUUCUGCAAAUAGGGAGCCUGGCACCUUCUCUGGAAUCCCCCUAGAAUCAGAGGUUAUGACCUUUUAGCCCAGCAGGUUGGGACAAUGCCUGAGGGUGCCAGUUAACUCCUGGUGUAGCUAAUGGAAGGGCAGGAGUGGGAAAGGAAAGGAAGAGAUGAGAAUGGCGUAGGAGGGGACACCAGCGAGAGAAGGGAAGAGAGAGGGCAGGGGAGAGACAGAGGGAGAGAGACGGGGACAGAGAGCGAGUGAGUAAAGGGUCAGGGUGGACAGGCGGAGACGGGGAGAGGAAAGGAGAAUGGAAAGAACAUUAAUUAGCCCUUAGGCUAAAUUCUGCAUCAGCAUCACCUGGGAAAGCAUUCCAAAUCCCCAUCCAGCCCUGCCGGUUUCAUUUCUGUAUUUAACAAGACCCCCCUGGCGAUCACUCUGCAUGUUUAAGUUUGAGAAGCACUGGUUUGGAGCCCACCAGGGUAAGGGACACAAAAUGGCCCAACAGGUCUGGGGCUUGGAGUGGCUGCAUCAGAGUUGUGAGGACUCUCCGAGCUUGCGGAGAAGCAAGCUGGGGUUGAUCUUGCUGCGAAGAUAAGCUGAAAAUGUGUCCGACGGAGACGAGCACUCCGGAGAGAGAGAAAGCAAAAGCGGUUGGAGAGUACUGGGGGGCGACUUUGGGACAGCGAUUCAGUUUGGGGAGUGUUUCCUGCCUGCUGAGAAGAGGCAGGGUUGCCUGAGGAGAACCGACAGUGAGAGGACACAUGGAUUGUCACCCACAGCCAGGCGAGCGGGGGCCGGGCCGCGCAGGGUUCCACCUCAGCCUGUGAAUGGAGCUCCUUGGGGCUCAGGAUGAGCCACCUCUGAGCACUGUGCAGCCACCAGCAUGGCCUCACCUGAGUCUGAGGAGUUUGCAGUCACCUGUGGGGCCAGGAGGAGGCCACUGGGCUCCUUGGCAAGUUAUAAAUCUUACCAGCACCCCGCCUGGCCAGGCUUUUCUGUCGGCCGCCCCGGAGUUUCCAAACAGAUGGCAGGUGUCGGGGGUGUUUCGAGAAGCACCUGGUCAAGUCCAAAAAGGAAACUUUAGUUCCUUCACACCUUCUGGUCCGGGGCCACCUCAGCGUGUGCACACGAUGGUCAGCAGGGGCUGACCAGGGACUCAGUCUCAGACAGUUUUAAACACAUUCAAGAUGUCCCCUUGGACCUGAGCUGGGCCUGGGGUGCCUCAGCGCCUGGGCCCCAGCAGGGCUUUCUCAGGCCUCCAGGUCCAACUGGCGCAGGCGAGGCCUGGACUCCUCCGUGUGCUGCCCUUGGCCUUCCAGGACCCAGGCUGGGCCUCGACCUCCCUGCUCCAAGCUAUGGCAGCAACCCCGGAGGCCAUUCUCCUCCUGGCCGACUCCUGUGAGUCCACCGUGGGGCAGUGGCUCUCUGGCAAAUCUCCCUGCCCGGUUCCUGCCUUCCGAUCUCCUCCCAGAGCCUGUGGGCUCCGGGCUGGCUCAGCAUUUCUUGUUUCCAGAACAUCCGCUGACUCGGUGAGUGAAGGAAUGCUGCUUCUCCCCAAGGUGAAAGGGUCCCCCGCAUUUGCUUUCUAGAAUUGUCUUUCUCGUUAUAGCCUCUGCUCCUGCCUUCCACCAAAAUGUCAGGAGUUCCCAUUUCCUGAGGCGAACGGGGAGGAGAGAGGAAAGAAAACUUAUCUGGUGUUUGUUCUGCAUGACUAACACCGAGCUAAACUUUAUCAGGCCAAGCUUAUCACAAUGAGAAGAUCUGGCUGGAAUGCUGUUUUUCUCUUCCCGCCCUUUCCCUUCUCUUCUCCCCAUCCUCCGAAGGCUCCUCCCCAGACCAGGGGAUCGGAAGCUCUGGGGGAUGGGACCAGGCCUGAGUUCUUUUCGUUUUUUUAAAAGGUGUCUCAGGUGCUUCUAAUGGGCAGCCAGGGCUGAGAACCACUGCUUCAGGGUAAUUGUUGUCAUUAGGACUAGAAAUCCCAGAGGCUAUAGACGGGGAAGGGGAACAGCAGUAGCUACAGUGCUAUCGCUGGGACGUGGUGUGCCUCUUUCCUUUGCCCUGUUGUUCUUCACGUUGGCUCCUAUUUCAAGCCCUAAACUCAGAGUCACAAGAUGGCUGCAGCAGCUCCAGGCUUCACAUCCCCUCAGCUUCAAGUCCUCUGGAAAGAAUGUCCAGCCCAUGACCUGCUGCCUCUCAUUGGUCCUUGUGCUCUCUAUCUCUGGUUGGCUUUUCUCUGCUUGUUUGCAUUCUACAAAUAAGCUUUCUCCAGCAGAUGGGCUGAUGCAAUUUCAGUUUGGUGGUGGGGGUGGAGGGGCACUGUGGGUAGUUAUCUUGGGGGAUGUGUGAGGUGCUGUGGGAGC
rnacentral:lncRNA from 1 species